rnacentral:lncRNA from 1 species
CGUGGAACCGGCCCCACUAACCUGCAUCCAGCUGCCUCUUCCACCUGGGCCCUGCUCUCAGAUGGAAGUGUCACCAAACACCCAGAUCGCCGUGCUCCUGCUUCUCUGGGUUCAAUGAGACCCUCCACCCAGAUGAGCAUGAGCCCAGCCAGGGUGGGCUGUUCAGUUUCUUCCCUGGGAAUCUGGAGCUGGAUUGAGCUGGUCUGCAGCCUGGUCUGAGAGCCCAGCAGGCUCGAGACACUGCAACCUGGCCUGGCCGUGGGCAGGCAGGGAGUGGAGGUUGCGGCAUCGUCUGGGCAGAGGAGCUGGGGCGUUUGCCAGAAGUCUCCAACGGGCCAUCUGGUCCCAGAGAGCAGAGCACACAGCCUCAAGAAAUACGAGAAAGGCGGCAGGGGCAGGAAGCCCCAGGGCUGCGACAGCAGGACGAUGAGCUGGCAGAGCUUCGCACAGGCUGCCUGGAAACUGGCACAGCUGCAUUCAUCAGAAGAAACAGUUGCAGCCGGGUGUGGUGGCUCACGCCUGUAAUCCCAACCCUUUGGGAGGCCGAGGCCGGCAGAUCACUUGAAGUCAGGAGUUCAAGACCAGCCUGGCCAACAUGGUGAAACCCCAUCUUUACUAAAAAUACAAAAAAAU